AUGGCAUUUAACUUUAUCUUGAGAGGGAGGGAGCGGGGGAAGAGAUGCAGCAUAUGUGGUAAAAGAAAGCGUUUCUAUGGUACCCCUCUCCAGUCAGGUUAUAGAGCGAGUGAAUGGGAAAUUGUGGUGAGAAAGAAGAGUUUCUUUCCAUGGUGGAUCCAGUAUAAGGAAGUGAAUCACAGCCAACGAUUACAAAUAGUUACUGGUUUCUUAGCAAGCAAUCUUCCCCAGGGCAUUUGGCAAAAAAAUGUUCAUAUUCAAAGAAACGAAGGAUUAACCUCUCAUAGCUGCCGAGGCAUUAAUAGCCUCCCACUGGGCAAAGACAAUAGCCCCAACCCAGGCACUUGUUUUAAGAACUACAGGCAAUCAUUGUCCUGGAAUAGUGAAUGCAUUAAUUAUAUGACCAGCAAAAUAGAGGACAAACAGAUGUGGUGCUACAUGGACAUAAGGCACAUCACUGCUGUUGCGAGUUUGGAGCUUGGGGGUACUGCAGUUGCCCAGCAGAGAGAUUGUGUGCAAGUGAGUGAUGAAGAAGAUCAUCAGACUGGAGAAGUCACGGCCCAUUCAGCAAUGGACCCUUCUUCCAUGACGUGAAGCUUGAAGACUGCCCAUCGUGAGAGGAUGGGACCCCGUUUCCUAUCCAGCACUGGUGGGUCUACUUGGGUGUCCCCAGAGCCACAAAGACUGCUGCCUGAAGCACAGCAAAUGGGAAAUCAUGUCCAUUAAAGCAAAGUGCCCUGAGCAGAAAAGCUGUUCUCUUGUGCCACCAUCACUGCCUAAAGCCACAUGCAUCCCCCCAUCCUAGACAGGUCAGCCAGAGGAAGAGGAGGUGAAAGAGCUGAGUCAACAGCAAGGCCAUCAGCAGGAAGAGAGCCUGACAAAAGACCCCCCAUUUGCAUAACGAGCACAAAUCCAGCCCCCUCUACCAACCUCCAGCUAACAAGCAACCACCAUGUGGGUGACCAGUCUGAAAAAGUUCAACUGCUUUAGAGUUGCCUUUGUUUUAAUGGUGGCAUGUUUCAUAGAUUUCAUAGACAUUAGGGCUGGAAGGGACCUCAGGAGAUCAUCAAGUCCAGCCCCCUGCCCAAAGGGCAGGAAGUCAGCUGCAGUCAUAGGAUCCCAGCAAGAUAAGCAUCCAAUUUACUCUUGAAGGUGUUCAAUGUAGGUGCUUGAA
rnacentral:lncRNA from 1 species